UACGAAGGGGGCUAGCGUUGCUCGGAAUCACUGGGCGUAAAGCGCACGUAGGCAGGUCGUUAAGUCAGGGGUGAAAUCCUGGAGCUCAACUCCAGAACUGCCCUUGAUACUGGCGAUCUCGAGUUCGGGAGAGGUGAGUGGAACUGCGAGUGUAGAGGUGAAAUUCGUAGAUAUUCGCAAGAACACCAGUGGCGAAGGCGGCUCACUGGCCCGAUACUGACGCUGAGGUGCGAAAGCGUGGGGAGCAAACAGG
rnacentral:rRNA from 1 species